rnacentral:rRNA from 1 species
CGAGUGGCGGACGGGUGAGUAAUGCUUGGGAACUUGCCUUUGCGAGGGGGAUAACAGUUGGAAACGACUGCUAAUACCGCAUAAUGUCUUCGGACCAAACGGGGCUUAGGCUCCGGCGCAAAGAGAGGCCCAAGUGAGAUUAGCUAGUUGGUGAGGUAAAGGCUCACCAAGGCAACGAUCUCUAGCUGUUCUGAGAGGAAGAUCAGCCACACUGGGACUGAGACACGGCCCAGACUCCUACGGGAGGCAGCAGUGGGGAAUAUUGCACAAUGGGGGAAACCCUGAUGCAGCCAUGCCGCGUGUGUGAAGAAGGCCUUCGGGUUGUAAAGCACUUUCAGUUGUGAGGAAAAGUUAGUAGUUAAUACCUGCUAGCCGUGACGUUAACAACAGAAGAAGCACCGGCUAACUCCGUGCCAGCAGCCGCGGUAAUACGGAGGGUGCG